GACAGAGGUGCCGAGCGUUAUCCGGAUUCACUGGGGUUAAAGGGAGCGUAGGUGGCUUUGUAAGUCAGUGGUGAAAUCUUAGAGCUUAACUCUAAAACUGCCAUUGAUACUGCUUAGCUUGAAUCACGUCGAGGUGGAUGGAAUAUUACAUGUAGCGGUGAAAUGCUUAGAUAUGUAAUAGAACACCGAUUGCGAAGGCAGUUCACUAGGCGUGUAUUGACACUGAGGCUCGAAAGCGUGGGGAUCAAACAGG
rnacentral:rRNA from 1 species